AAAGGUUGAUAUGAUCACUCUGCAAGGAGGGGAAGGGGCCUUCAGACCACCGCAUAGAUUAGCCAUUGGCUGGAGCGUUCCCAGGCGGAGGCAUACACUCGGGGAAGGGCAAAAGGCGUCCCAAGACAGCCUGGCUGUGAGCCAUCAGCAGCGACUCCGAGCCCCUCGGCCCUUCGGGGCCCCAGGCUGGGCACCACACCAUCCAUCACAGUCCCCACAUCCCUCAAACAGCAGUGGGGCCUGGGUGCCAGCAGCUCCUCCAUGUCCUGGCGGGUCUCUUUACCCGGGAAACCCAGAGCAGAGGGUUCAGUGGGACUAGCUGCAGAUUCCCACUCCAGAUCCCUCCACCCGUGGACAGCAGCUCCGUGAGAGAGGCGGCUCCCGGGGGGAGUUAGAGGCUGCCCUCGUCAUGCCGUUCAUGCACUGACGCUCCCACCGUGCCAGGACAUGCCCCAUGCUCCCUCCUUUCCGCCUUCUGCCUCCUCCAGGCCCUGCCAGUGUGGGGCUUUCUCCCCGGCCUGCUGGCCUCUUAGCUCAGAAGCCAGAUGUGACCUGGUGGCAGCUACCCAUGAAGUUGAAUGAGACCUGUGCUGUGUCUCCCACGGAAGCACGACUCCUCCAGAGCCAGGACUUUACAAUCUAAAAAGCUCAGAGUCGUGGGGAGAAGAUGUACCCGUCACCAAACCAAUGCUGUGGAUGGGGAUAAGAGGAGCCUCUCCUACCUCCACACCUUGGCUCCAUGGGUCGCCCACGGGGCACAGCAUUGCUAGAAGCCCUGGCUCAGAGUGCGCUCUGCGUCCAGGCGGGCUGCCAGAAACCUUCAGUGAGCUGGUCUGCGACACUCAGGCCCUCCACCGGCAUAUGGGACAGCAGCACCCAUGCUGCUGCAGCCUGGAAGAGAUGUAUCUGGGAGAAGCGUUCACCAGCUGAUGGGUGUUAGCGGGGACGCGUGACCCUCCUGCACUGUUCUAUGGGGGAUGGAGCCGAGGAAUGACCUUCUCUAGGGAAAGGCUCCUUCUGGCCCGGGAACAGAGGUCCCCUCGGGGCUCUGCUGGCCCCUUUGCAGAUGUCAGCACGUUGUGUCUUAAGGUGCUCAUGUCUGCUGUCCACCUGCUUCGCGUGGCAGGUGUGUCUUAAUCAAGUUUGAAAGGUCUGUAGAUGCUAUCUUCAGGUCUAGACUAAGCUGCUCUUCAGACGGCUCUCGGUUGACAUAUCGGUCCCUCCCUGGGUGGCAUUAGCCUGUCAUCAGGCACGCCUCCUUCCCAUCGAGCCUGACCCCCAAUCCCAUCGUCACAAGGGCGGGCUCCCUGACUCUGGAUGGGGGCUGAAUCACCUGCUUCCCCGCUCCCUCCCCAGCACUCCGGCAGCAUCCUGACUCUGACAGUGACACUGCCUUUGUCAUGACCCCUCAAAGGCAGCCAUGCCCUGGGUCCCCUCUGGUGAGAAUAAAUUGCAACCCUGGCCCAGCUUCACUGUGCACGCAGGCAGGUGACCCAGCCGAGCUCUGCACCCACGUGCUCUGUGAGGAAGCUCACCAAGGAUCCAAACCCUGGAAUUUGAGAGGCAGGGCUUGCAUGGAUGAGGAUGCACAGAGAUCACAGGUUCCAUGGCUGUCUGCCCAUCUCUUUCCACACCCAGACUGGCUCCAACUGACAGAGCUCAGUGGAUUCAGCAAGGCCCUCUCUGCACCUGAGUGGCUGAACUUCCUCAGGUGGGAGGAAAUGAACCUCUCUUCAUUUCCAAAAACACUGCACAGCAUGGCCAGCGUGCACUGAGGGUGGUGUCCAUCCACAACAGUCCUUGGCACAAGGCCACCUUGGCACCUGGCCAAUUCGCCGGCCCUGACCACGUGGCCCCUGUGAAGUCGGGGGGUGCCCCGCCACUGUCCUGCCUCUCUGGUUUCAGAGACAGCAGUCCCGGUACUUUCUAAAGUAGUUUAGGUGUCCACACCUCCAGAGGCAGCUGAUUUCCCUGGAAAUCUUUGCUUAUUUUUAGAGAGUUUCAGUAAAACCCAGGGUGAAGAAAGACACCGACAAGGCCCACAGUGAAUGGCCGUGUGGCCUCUCCAGGGUCCUCUGUCAUUCUGCAUGCAGAGCUCCUGGCCCCAGGUCAAGAGAUGAAGCCCCUUCAGGUCCACUGAUGGGAGCUUUGAGAGGCCACUGCAGCCAAAGUGAAGACAAUGUGCAGAAGAGAAUCAGCCUCUCGGGGGAUUCUGGAGCAAGGGGAGCCUGUUGCAUCCUCACAUCUUCCCUUUUUGAUGUCUCUCUUAAAAAUAUAACAUUUCUGCUUUUAGUGCACAAGAUGAAAGCAAAGGUUUGGGUAUACAUUAAACACUUUUAAAGCCAGCAAUGUGAUUGAGAACAGGAAGGGAGCAAGGAGAAGGCUGGUACUUAACAGCAUCAUUAGCUAGGAAUGUGGCUGAAGGGGAAGGAAACACUAAUUGGCUUCCUGGGAGCCUCGUCCCUGAGAACAGCCCCUGUGCCAUGGAAGUUUCUAUUCAUGUGACCGAGUAAAGGCAGAGAAAACCAAGCUGGGGCAUUUUUCAAUUUUGCUUUGUUAUUUCAAAGUAAUGGCAGCCUGGGCAACAUGGUGACACCUCAUCCUUAUGAAUUUUUGGUUUUAAUUUUCAAAAAAUUAGCCAGGCAUGGUGGUGUGCCCCUGGAGUGCCAGAUGCUCAGGAGGCUGAGGCAGGAGGAUUGCUUGAGCCUGGGAGGAUGAGGCUGCAGUGAGCUAUGAUCGUGCCACUGUGCUCGAGCUGCACUCCAGCCUGGGUGACAGAGCAAGACCCUGUCUCUAAAUAAAUAAAUAAGCAAAUAUGUACAUGCAUGAAAGUAAUAGCUAUUGCCUUUUUAUCAUUUGGAAAGAUCUCAUAUUCUUUCACAAAGAAAAACAGAAAAUUUAAAUAAGCCAAAAGGACAAUAUUUGCCCUCCAGCAAAUCUACUUGUCCAUUAACUGUCCUUGUCAGCACCCUGACCUGGGAUCAUGGAUGGCACUGUCUGAAGGAGGAUCAGCGCUAAAAUGCUGCCCAGCGCUCAGCCCCAUUUCAGGUGCUGCCAGACUGGCCUUUGGUGGAGCCCCCGCCGUGGGAACCAAGCAUGUGUAGUAAUCACUCCCCGCAGCACCGGCAAAGUUCUUCAGCCAGGCUGACAUUAAAGUACGCAAUUCUAACCUAAACGAUCACUUUUCUCAUUUUAACACGUUCUUACUGUGUUACAACAUCUUCCUCAGUCUUCAGAAAAGUGUUGACAUUUUACUCCGCAUGUCUGUAUCAGUCCCGCAGUUCUGCCGUAACAAAUUACCACGAAAUAUGUGGCUUCUGCCACAUUGUAAAGGCGGGAAGUUCAAAAUCAAGGCAUCAGUAGGGCCACGCUCCCUCCAAAGGCUCGAGGGAAGACUGUUUCCUUUCGUCUUCCAGCUUCUGGUGGCUCUGGCGUUUCUGCGCUUGACCUGUGGCUGUGCUGUGAAUGUCGCUGUCCCCACAGUGUUCCUAGGUUGGAACCUCGUCCCCAUUGUGUUGGUAUUAAGACGUGGGGCCUUGGGAGGAGAUUGGUUCCACCGUCAUGAAUGGGGUUAGUGCCCUUUAUUAAAAAGGCCUCAGAGCUUCUACCUCCUCCACCAUGUGAGGACUCNNNNNNNNNNAGGCUCCUGGGUGGAAAGGGGCAGGUUCCCACUGAAGCCCCACCUUCAAGUCAGAGAAGGCCUGAAGCCUGGGGGCCAGGCUGCCCAUCCCAUGGACCAGAGUGGGAACUUGUGGUGUUUUUUCUGGUCCCGCUCAUGGCCACCCAUGGACCAGUCGGCAUGCACUUCCUCCCCUCUGAAGCCCAUAAAAACCUCAGACUCAGCCAGACUUGAAGAGAUGACUGGAUGACCAGCUGCGGAGACGAGCUACUCACCCCAGGGUCUCCUCUCUGCUGAGAGCUGAACACUAGUUGGGACACCUUGGCUGCAAACAGGAGCUGCCCACUGCGGGCCUCCUCUGAGAUGUUCUGUCACUCAAUAAAACUCCUCUUCACCUUCCUCACCCUCCACUUGUCCACGUACCUCAUUCCUCCUGGGCAACAAGAACUUGAGACCCGCCGAAUGGCAAGGCUGAAAGAGCCGUAACACAAGAGUCU
rnacentral:lncRNA from 1 species